AACGAACGCUGGCGGCGCGCCUAAUACAUGCAAGUCGAGCGAGAAGACGUAGCAAUACGUUUGUAAAGCGGCGAACGGGUGAGGAAUACAUGGGUAACCUACCCUCGAGUGGGGAAUAACUAGCCGAAAGGUUAGCUAAUACCGCGUACGCUCCUUGGACUUCGGUUCAGGGAGGAAAGCGAUACCGUGGGUAUCGCGCUCUUGGAUGGGCUCAUGUCCUAUCAGCUUGUUGGUGAGGAACGGCUCACCAAGGCUUCGACGGGUAGCUGGUCUGAGAGGACGAUCAGCCACACUGGCACUGCGACACGGGGCCAGACUCCUACGGGGAGGCAGCAGUAAGGAAUAUUGCGCAAGUGGGCGAAAGCCUGACGCAGCGACGCCGC
rnacentral:rRNA from 1 species